rnacentral:rRNA from 1 species
CUAUGUCGGCGACCGGCGCACGGGGUGCGUAACGCGUAUGCAACCUACCCAUUACAGGGGGAUAACACUGAGAAAUCGGUACUAAUACCCCAUAACAUCCAGGGAGGCAUCUUCUUGGGUUGAAAACUCCGGUGGUAAUGGAUGGGCAUGCGUUGUAUUAGUUAGUUGGUGGGGUAACGGCUCACCAAGACAACGAUACAUAGGGGGACUGAGAGGUUAACCCCCCACAUUGGUACUGAGACACGGACCAAACUCCUACGGGAGGCAGCAG